GCAGGGAGCCCGAUGUGGGGCUCGAUCCCAGGACCCUGGGAUCAUGACCUGAGCCGAAGGCAGACGCCAAACGACUGAGCCACCUAGGCACCCCCCGUGCCUUAUUUUCUUCAACGGGGAACUUUUUUCCUUGUUUGGUAAGUGCCAGGGGUACUAUUAUUUAAAACCGAUUUCAUUGCUGUAUAGAGCCGAAAUCUUUAGAACUCUGGUUAGGACUGAUAAUAUACGUUAUUAUAACAUAAAAUAACAAUAAUCACAACAGUGUAUUACUUGGCAUAAGGCCAGAAAUCUAGAUCGGUGGGAAAUAACAGGGAACCCAAUCAUACCAAAUCAUUUAAUAAAAAUCAGAUGUAUUUCAAUAACAAUAAGAAAAGGCAUUUAUUUUAUUUAAUCAAUAUUUAUUUAAUAGAGUGUCAGAUAACUGCAACACAGAAAAAUUAAUGUAGCUCACAUCUUAGAACACAUGAAUAAUGAGGGAGGAUAUUUACUGAGACCUUACUGUGUGUCAGACAUUUAUGAGAAACAUGGGCCAUUCACUACAACAUUGCAUUUGCACGAUGAUCCUGUGAGGAAAAGAGAAUCAUUAUCCCAAUUCUUCAGGUAAAAGCCUAUUGGUUGGAGAAGUCAAGCACCCUGCCCAAGGCACCAUAGUUGGAAACCAACCCUGCUCUGCCCAGUUCCAAGGAUCAGGCUCCUGACCAGUAGAUGACACAGCCCCCUCCCAUCAACAAUAAAUCCAAGUAGAUUAAAACCUUGGAUUUCAUUAUCUUUGGUUAAAUAGCUAACAUCAUAUAUUUCAGAGGAAGUGCUGGUUAAGAGGCUCUGGCUACGAGUGGUCAACCCCAGAAGGCAAAGCUGGACUCACUUGUUACACUUUCCAGCCUAUCCUGUAACAACAAAAAUUUGGGGAAAGAAACAGACGUUUAAUAUGCGCCUGAUAUGUGCCAUACACAAGGGUCACAACAAUUCCAUUUCACAGCCUGCUGGGUUCUCUAGCUCUCUGUGUCCAGUGUGUGUCCGACUGAAGGAAAAUGCAGCUCAGAAGACCAAAGCAGUCACAUCCAUUUUGGCCACUGUAUAAGGACACACAGGCAUCUCUUUGUCUUCGCCAGAUAUGGCAUAUUAAUCCAAAGCUACAUAUUAACCAGAGAAGAACGGCUACAGAUAACACUGGAGAAACUGCUCGUUAAGUGGCACUGUGGUGAUGUCAGGAGGAAAGAGUCACUUGAAAAGAAAAUGACAGAGUUCUGCUCCCAAAGUCGACUUCCAGAAGCUGUCUGCCACCCUAUCGACCAGCUGGUGCAUAAGCUCUAUAUUCAUUAUCCAAUCUGUUCUUUGUUCACUUCUCCAAGGAAGAAUUCCUUCUGCCUGACAGCCUUUAAACUGGGAGAAGAUAACCAGCCAUUUGUGUCUGUGUGAGCCAGCUUCCUCUCACUUCCUUCCUUCCCCAUUUUUUCUCUUUCCUUGGGAAACUUUGGAGAUCAAUUAAUCAUAAAUAAUUAUUCUGUCAUCAUGUACAUACCGAAGAAAUACCUAGUACAGAUAAACAGUCCAUAAUUUCCAUAAAAAAGAGAAAAAAAUUAAACUAUUUGUGCUUCUACUUUUCCCUUGCUGAACUAACGCAAAAGAAAAAGUUUAAGUGUGAGUUUGGGCAAUAGUCUUGGUUCCUAUACUUAGAGCUUGGUAUAUCCAAGAGUCUUAAAAAUCUUUUUGGAGGGGCGCCUGGGUGGCUCAGUCGGUUAAGCGACUGCCUUCGGCUCAGGUCAUGGUUCUGGAGUCCCGGGAUCGAGUCCCACAUCGGGCUCCCUGCUCAGCAGGGAGCCUGCUUCUCCCUCUGACCCUCCCCCCUCUCAUGUGCUCUCUCUCUCAUUCUCUCUGUCUCAAAUAAAUAAAAAUCUUUAAAAAAAAAAAAAUCUUUUUGGAUAUAUGACCAUAAUAGGUCUAUUUAUAUUAAAAUUUUAUGUUAUAUUCCCGACAGUUAGAUGAUUCUUUGGACUAUAAAGAAGAGUUAAGUUUAAAUUAGCUUAAAAAUAACUUCAUGUUUCCUCCUGAUUUUAUUAUGAUAUAAAAAUGUUACUGUAAUAAUUAAUGUAAGACUUAGAUUUAAUUUCUCAUGAUUUAAAGCUUCUAAAUUAAUAAUAGUAAUUCUAAGGGUUCAGUAAGAUCUCACUGUUCCCACAAAUUGUUUAAAAUUACAAAACUAUAGAACUGUAUUUAAUUAAAAGAACUUAUAUUUUAAAAAUUAUUUCAUCUAAUAAAUUCUUAUGUUUCAAAUUAUAAAUAUUUGAUGCGUUGACCUAAAUUUUAAUUUCCAGAUGUUUAGGUCAACUUAAAGAUCUCUUAAACUAAUAAUAAAUUGAGUUAAUUAAUAAUCCUUGGAAAUAUGGACAGUUUCUAAUUAAAGGAAAAGAUCCAAACACUGGGCACCACAUAUAGUUUUAAAUUACCCUUCCUUAUUUUUUU